AGAGUUUGAUCAUGGCUCAGAACGAACGCUGGCGGCAUGCCUAACACAUGCAAGUCGAACGGGAUCCAGACUUCGGUCUGGUGAGAGUGGCGGACGGGUGAGUAACGCGUGGGAACCUGCCCAAUGGUCUGGGAUAACCGCGGGAAACUGCGGCUAAUACCGGAUAAGCCCGAGAGGGGAAAGAUUUAUCGCCGAUGGAGGGGCCCGCGUCCGAUUAGGUAGUUGGUGAGGUAACGGCUCACCAAGCCUACGAUCGGUAGCUGGUCUGAGAGGAUGAUCAGCCACACUGGGACUGAGAUACGGCCCAGACUCCUACGGGAGGCAGCAGUGGGGAAUAUUGGACAAUGGGGGCAACCCUGAUCCAGCAAUGCCGCGUGAGUGAUGAAGGCCUUAGGGUUGUAAAGCUCUUUUACCGGGGACGAUGAUGACGGUACCCGGAGAAUAAGCCCCGGCUAACUUCGUGCCAGCAGCCGCGGUAAUACGAAGGGGGCGAGCGUUGUUCGGAAUUACUGGGCGUAAAGGGCGCGUAGGCGGCGACCCAAGUCAGAUGUGAAAGUCCUGGGCUUAACCUGGGGACUGCAUUUGAUACUGGGUUGCUUGAAUUCGGGAGAGGAUAGCGGAAUUCCCAGUGUAGAGGUGAAAUUCGUAGAUAUUGGGAAGAACACCGGUGGCGAAGGCGGCUAUCUGGACCGACAUUGACGCUGAGGCGCGAAAGCGUGGGGAGCAAACAGGAUUAGAUACCCUAGUAGUCC
rnacentral:rRNA from 1 species